rnacentral:lncRNA from 1 species
CCAUGGUUGCACGAUUAGGUAGGGGCUCCGGGCGCUUUGCCCACCCCCGAGCUGGAGGGGACUGGCGGGAAGCGGCGGUUGGCUGCAGGGCGCUCCGCCGGGCGUGGGGUGUAGCCGUGUCGGUGAGCGAGCUCUGCUCGAGGCGGAGAGGAGAAACUCGGGAAGCAAUUGUGGCUACUCUAAGGCUACUGGUUUCGAGUCAGGCCGUGCGACCUUAGGCAAGUCGCACAUUCUCUCCGUGCAGCUGCCUAGCAGUGUGGAUUCAGUAUCACCGUGUGUGUAAAGCUCUUUCUAAGAAUCGUAAGGAACCACCAGCUGCUGCAUCCCAUGGCCAGGGGUGGCGUCCAGGUGGCAGAGCAGCUAGGAACGCAAGGCCUGAACCUGGGGCCAGACACCCUGCUCUCCCGGCCAUGGUCAACGACCCUCCAGUACCUGCCUUACUGUGGGCCCAGGAGGACCGACUGUGAUUCCUCCACCACCUCACUCUGCUCCUUCCCUGUUGCCAAUGUCUCGCUGACUAAGGGUGGACGUGAUCGGGUGCUGAUGUAUGGACAGCCGUAUCGUGUUACCUUAGAGCUUGAGCUGCCAGAGUCCCCUGUGAAUCAAGAUUUGGGCAUGUUCUUGGUCACCAUUUCCUGCUACACCAGAGGUGGCCGAAUCAUCUCCACUUCUUCGCGUUCGGUAAGUGUUG